GGUCUUGGAAWUGGAAUGAGUACAAUUUAAACCYCUYAACCASGAACAAUUGGAGGGCAAGUCUGGUGCCAGCASCCCCSSYMAUYCCAGCUCCAAUAGCGUAUAUUAAAGUUGUUGCMSUUAMMMMGCYCGYMGWUSAAACYUGGGUCUGGCUGGCAGGUCCGCCUCACCGCCUGUACUUGUCCGGCCGGGCCUUCCUUCUGGAGAACCUCAUGCCCUUCACUGGGCGUGUUGGGGACCAGGACUUUCACUUUGAAAAAAUUAGAGUGGACAAAGCAGGCCUUUGCUCGAAUACGUUAGCAUGGAAUAAUAGAAUAGGACGUGCGGUCCUAUUUUGUUGGUUUCUAGGACCGCCGUAAUGAUUAAUAGGGACAGUCCGGGGCAUCAGUAUUCAAUUGUCAGAGGUGAAAUUCUUGGAUUUAUUGAAGACUAACUACUGCGAAAGCAUUUGCCAAGGAUGUUUUCAUUAAUCA
rnacentral:rRNA from 1 species